AGAGUUUGAUCCUGACUCAGAACGAACGCUGGCGGCGUGCCUAACACAUGCAAGUCCAACGUGAAAGGGGAGCAAUCCCCCGGUAGGGUGGCAAACGGGUGAGUAAUACAUGGGUGAUCUACCUUAGGGAUGGGGAUAUCCUUCCGAAAGGAGGGGCAAUACCGAAUAUUGUCCGGAGCCGUGAAGGGUUCCGGGGAAAGGGAGGCCUCUGAUACAAGCUUUCGCCUUAAGAUGAGCCCAUGGCCCAUCAGCUAGUUGGUAGGGUAAAGGCCUACCAAGGCUACGACGGGUCGCUGGUCUGAGAGGACGACCAGCCACACUGGCACUGAGAUACGGGCCAGACUCCUACGGGAGGCAGCAGUGAGGAAUAUUGCGCAAUGGGGGAAACCCUGACGCAGCAACGCCGCGUGUGGGAAGAAGGCCUUCGGGUCGUAAACCACUUUUGCACGGGACGAAAAAGGGAUAUCGAACAAAUAUCCCCGAUGACGGUACCGUGAGAAUAAGCCACGGCUAACUCUGUGCCAGCAGCCGCGGUAAGACAGAGGUGGCAAGCGUUGUUCGGAAUUACUGGGCGUAAAGAGUCUGUAGGUGGUUUGUCAAGUCUUUGGUGAAAGGCCCGUAGCUUAACUAUGGGAAUGCCAAAAAGACUGGCAGGCUGGAGGCUGGGAGAGGGAAGCGGAAUUUCUGGUGU
rnacentral:rRNA from 1 species